rnacentral:tRNA from 1 species
UCGUCGGUGGUUUAGUGGUUAGGACGCUCGCUGACCAUGCACAUGAUCCGGGGUUCGAUUCCCAGCCGACGAA